GACGAACGCUGGCGGCAUGCCUAAUACAUGCAAGUCGAGCGAACAGAUGAAGUGCCUGCACUUCUGACGUUAGCGGCGAACGGGUGAGUAACACGUAAGGAAUCUACCUAUAAGCGGGGGAUAACAUUCGGAAACGGGUGCUAAUACCGCAUAAUAUCUUCUUCCGCAUGGAAGAAGAUUGAAAGACGGCUCUGCUGUCACUUAUAGAUGACCUUGCGGUGCAUUAGUUAGUUGGUGGGGUAACGGCCUACCAAGACGAUGAUGCAUAGCCGACCUGAGAGGGUGAUCGGCCACAUUGGGACUGAGACACGGCCCAAACUCCUACGGGAGGCAGCAGUAGGGAAUCUUCCGCAAUGGGCGAAAGCCUGACGGAGCAAUGCCGCGUGAGUGAAGAAGGCCUUAGGGUUGUAAAGUUCUUUUGUCGCAGAGCAAAAUGCUUGUACUAAUACUAUGAGUAGAUGAGAGUAUGCGAAGAAUAAGCACCGGCUAACUACGUGCCAGCCGCCGCGGUAA
rnacentral:rRNA from 1 species